rnacentral:rRNA from 1 species
UACGUAGGGAGCAAGCGUUGUUCGGAUUUACUGGGCGUAAAGGGCGCGUAGGCGGCGCGGUAAGUCACUUGUGAAAUCUCUGAGCUUAACUCAGAACGGCCAAGUGAUACUGCAGAGCUAGAGUGUAGAAGGGGCAAUCGGAAUUCUUGGUGUAGCGGUGAAAUGCGUAGAUAUCAAGAGGAACACCUGAGGUGAAGACGGGUUGCUGGUCUAACACUGACGCUGAGGCGCGAAAGCCAGGGGAGCAAACGGG